rnacentral:rRNA from 1 species
AGCAGCCGCGGUAAUUCCAGCUCCAAUAGCGUAUAUUAAAGUUGUUGCAGUUAAAAAGCUCGUAGUUGAAUUUCGGGGGUCAGUAGGUUGGUCGUGCCACUGGUAUGAACUGGUCUCACUGAUUCCUCCCUCCUGUAGAACCGUGAUGCCAUUAAUUUGGUGUUGCGGGGAAACAGGACUGUUACUUUGAAAAAAUUAGAGUGUUUAAAGCAAGCUAACGCUUGAAUACAUUAGCAUGGAAUAAUGAAAUAGGACGUCUGUCUUAUUUUGUUGGUUUCUAGGAUGGACGUAAUGAUUAAUAGGGAUAGUUGGGGGCAUUAGUAUUCAAUUGUCAGAGGUGAAAUUCUUGGAUUUAUUGAAGACUAACUACUGCGAAGGCAUUUGCCAAGGNUGUUUUCAUUAAUCAAGACGAAAGUUGGGAUCGAAGACGAUCAGAUACCGUCGUAGUCCUUAACCGAUAAACUAUGACCGUACUAGGGGAUCGGGAUGAUUAGUUUAAUUUUUAAUGUACUUCAGUUCG